AUAAAAGGUACGCCGGGGAUAACAGGCUGAUGAUUCCCAAGAGCUCAUAUCGACGGAAUCGUUUGGCACCUCGAUGUCGGCUCAUCACAUCCUGGGGCUGAAGCCGGUCCCAAGGGUAUGGCUGUUCGCCAUUUAAAGCGGUACGUGAGUUGGGUUCAGAACGUCGCGAGACAGUUCGGUCCCUAUCUGCCGUGGGUGUAGGA
rnacentral:rRNA from 1 species